rnacentral:rRNA from 1 species
UGUAUAGCAAUUGCUAGUUGCACUAAAAGUUUUAGUGUAAAAUCAAUUUAGUUGAAUAAAAUUCUGGAUGGAAUUAUGAUAAUGACAUAAUCUGUUCAUAAGUCUUGACCAAAUUACGUGCCAGCAGUCGCGGUAAUACGUAGAAGACAAGUGUUAUUCAUCUUUAAUAGGUUUAAAGGGUACUUAGACGGUAAAUCAAGCCUUAAUAUGGGACUAAUUUGCUAGAGUUUUAUGUGAAAAAGUAUUAAAGUACUGCUGGUGUAGAGAUGAAAUUCUGUCAUACCUUGAAUGGCACAGGUUAAGGCGAAAGCAUCUUUUUAUGUAAAAACUGACGUUGAAGGACGAAGGCUUUGUGUCUCGAACAGGAUUAGAUACCCUAGUAGUCUAAGCAGACAAUGAUGAAUGUCAUAGAUUAGAUAGAAUUUGAUCUAUAAAUGAAAAUGUAAGCAUUCCACCUCAAGAGUAAUUUGGCAACAUUGGAACUGAAAUCAUUAGACCGUUUCUGAAAACAGUAGUGAAGUAUGUUGUUUAAUUUGAUAAUCCGCAAAAAACCUUACCACAAUAUGAAUAGAUAUAUUUUAUCAUACAAGCGUUGCACGGCUGUCUUCAGUUAAUGUCGUGAGACUUUGGUUAGUUCCAUAAAAUUAACGUAAACCCUUACUUUAUUUACUUAUAAAGUAGAUCACCGCUAUAUUGGACGUGAUAACAGGGAUCAAGACAAGUCAUCAUGACCUAAAUAUUGUGGGCUAUAGACGUGCCACAUAUGCCUUACAAAGAGAUGCUAAAUUGUGAAAUUAAGCUAAUCUCCUAAAAU